rnacentral:ncRNA from 1 species
CCGGCAGGGGUGCCGGGGCUGUUGCCCGGGCUGAGAUCAUACCCGUAACACCUGAUUCGGAUAAUGCCGACGUAGGGAAGCUGCC